GAAGUAGGAAAGUUAAGCCAAGGUUUCCUAUUUUGGUUUGACCUUUCCUAAUUCUAAAAGUACUCAUGUUCCAGCCACUUUAAGGACACAUAUGCAUUUGAGGACACAAAACAAAGGCCUUAGACCUUUCCUAUACCUUUGCCGCACCUUGUGAAGGUUCCUUACCCUUUCCUCUUCCUUGCCGUGCAAGGGAGAGGAGUCUUUCCUGAUUUUAGGUAUUUCAACACAUUCCUAAUGUGUUUCAAGGUGUAGCCGCACCUCCUAGCCUAAUUCCCUUAAGUUUCUGAUUUUAAUUUCCUAUUUCUAGAAGCUUUUGACUUGAUUUCUGUUUACCAAAAUAGUCUAGGGUUUUUAAUUUCCUAUUUCUAGAAGCUUUUGACUUGAUUUCUGUUUACCAAAAUAGUCUAGGGUUUUUAAUUUCCUAAUCCCUUUAAAUAAACAUCCUUAUGCAGCCACAAACAUACCCAUUCACCCAGAAAACAACCAUUCACGCCAGAAACUGAACACCACCUUCAACAGCCCCAUUCCUUCACCAUUCACCAUAUUUUCUGACCCAAAACCACCCUAGCCGCACCACCCAUCAACCCUAAACACUUCCAUACGUCUUCCAUCCAUUCUACAUCAUUCAAUAACCCAAGAAACCACCAACAUCCAAUCUGCCGCAAGCAAGGAAAGGGGACAGAUUCACUCAAU
rnacentral:lncRNA from 1 species